GCUCGCCGAGCCGCACGGCCGGCUCCGGCGUGCGCUGCCGGGGCGCGCUGAACUCGGCGAUCACCCGCCGGGUCACCGCCGGGGCGAGCA
rnacentral:tRNA from 1 species